AGUUCGAUCCUGGCUCAGAUUGAACGCUGGCGGGAUGCUUUACAUGCAAGUCAGACGGCAGCACGGACUUCGGUCUGGUGGCGAGUGGCGAGCGGGUGAGUAAUGUAUCGGAACGUGCCUAGUAGCGGGGAUGUACAUGGCGUAGCUAUUACCACGCUUACGCCCUUCGGGGGAAAGCGGGGGACCUUCGGGCCUCGCACUAUUAGAGCGGCCGAUAUCCGGAUUAGCUAGUUGGUGGGGUAACGGCUCACCAAGGCGACGAUCCGUAGCCGGUUUGAAGGACGACCAGCCACACUGGGACUGAGACACGGCCCAGACUCCUACGGGAGGCAGCAGUGGGAAUUUUGGACAAUGGGGAAACUUACAGUCAGCCAUCCCGCGUGUGCGAUGAAGGCCUUCGGGUUGUAAACACUUUUGGCAGGAAAGAAACGGCACGGGAUAAUACCCCGUGCAACUAAUAACAGAAUAUGCACCGGCUAACUACGUGCCAGCAGCGCAAUAUGCGUGGUGCAAGCGUUAUCAGAAUUACUGGGCGUAAGCGUGCCUGACAGACUGGAAAAAGAAUGUCUGAAAUCCCAGAGCUUAACUUUGGAACUGCAUUUUUAACUACCGAGCUAGAGUGUCAGAGGAGGUGGAAUUCGCGUGUGAACAAAUGCGUAGUGUCACGGAAGGCCUGAUGGCGAAGGCAGCCUCCUGGGAUAACACUGACGCUCAUGCACGAAAGCGUAGGGCGACAGGAUUAGAUACCCCUGUGAUGCACUAUAAGCGAUAUCGUAACUUAGCUUAUUUGGGCCUUCGGGCCUUGGUAGCGCAGCUAACGCGUGAAGUUGACCGCCUGGGAGUACGGUCGCAAGAUUAAACUCAAAGGAAUUGACGGGGACCCGCACAAGCGGUGGAUGAUGUGGAUUAAUUCGAUGCAACGCGAAAAACCUUACCUACCCUUGACAUGUCUGGAAUCCCGAAGAGAUUUGGAGUGCUCGCAAGAGAACCGGAACACAGGUGCUGCAUGGCUGUCGUCAGCUCGUGUCGUGAGAUGUUGGGUUAAGUCCCGCAACGAGCGCAACCCUUGUCAUUGACGUUGCUACGAAAGGGCACUCUAGUAAUGAGACCUGCCGGUAAACCGGAGGAAGGUGGGGAUGACGUCAAGUCCUCAUGGCCCAUAUGGGUAGGGCUUCACACGUCAUACAAUGGUCGGGACAGAGGGUCGCCAACCCGCGAGGAGCCAAUCCCAGAAACCCGAUCGUAGUCCGGAUCGCAGUCUGCCAUCAGCGACUGCGUGAGGUCGGAAUCGCUAGUAAUCGCGGAUCAGCAUGUCGCGGUGAAUACGUUCCGGGUCUUGUACACCGCCCGUCACACCAUGGGAGUGGGUUUUACCAGAAGUAGUUAGCCUAACCGUAAGGAGGGCGAUUACCACGGUAGGAUUCAUGACUGGGGUGAAGUCGUAACAAGGUAG
rnacentral:rRNA from 1 species